AGUGGGGAAUCUUAGACAAUGGGGGCAACCCUGAUCUAGCCAUGCCGCGUGAGUGAUGAAGGCCUUAGGGUUGUAAAGCUCUUUCAGCUGGGAAGAUAAUGACGGUACCAGCAGAAGAAGCCCCGGCUAACUCCGUGCCAGCAGCCGCGGUAAUACGGAGGGGGCUAGCGUUGUUCGGAAUUACUGGGCGUAAAGCGCACGUAGGCGGACCGGAAAGUUGGGGGUGAAAUCCCGGGGCUCAACCUCGGAACUGCCUUCAAAACUACUGGUCUUGAGUUCGAGAGAGGUGAGUGGAAUUCCGAGUGUAGAGGUGAAAUUCGUAGAUAUUCGGAGGAACACCAGUGGCGAAGGCGGCUCACUGGCUCGAUACUGACGCUGAGGUGCGAAAGCGUGGGGAGCAAA
rnacentral:rRNA from 1 species